rnacentral:lncRNA from 1 species
GAAUUCAGUCACAAUGCACACAUGGUAGAAGACCACCAACGCCUUCAAGCUCUGCUCUGGCUUCCAUGUGCAUGGUGGUAUGCUUGCCCCACACCCUCUCAUACACACACAGACAAAAUAGAACUGAAAACAUUUUAAAGCUUAGAGAUUCAGAGUGCCAGUGUACUGUGUGCAUCUCUGAACAGUAUUUGCAGUCAUGACAUGGAAUCUGAAUGUUGAAUACAGCAAGAAGUCUGGGAGCUCAGGCCACAAGGACCUGCAGGGGGCAGAGGAGCAUGCUAUGUUAAGUGACAACCUAGGGAAGCACUGCCUAAGAACUGGAGAAGGCUGGUAAGGAACAAGAACUUUGGUCAGGCACAGUUCUUCCUUAGGCUCUGACUUUCCCUAAGGUGUCUGGUUAUUCUGUUUAGUGUGCAGGUUUGUAAAUAGGCAGAUGUUAAGUGACUGGGGAGCUAAUUAAAGGGUGGGGUUCCUUUUCAGCUGAUGCUUGGAGGCUCUAUAGGCCAGAACCUGUGCUCCACAGGACAGCAGGUUCUAAAGAGCAAUGGGGUUUGAAAGUGAUGCUGUGGGCAUUUAGCAAGGGGACAGCAGGGUCAGCCUAGGAGGUCAGCUUCACUUGGUUGCACUGUCUCUGAAAAGAUAGGGCAGACAACUUUUUUUUUACCUCAGUACGGUCUUCAGAGAUGGCUCUGUGGUCAAGGGCACUUGGUGUCCUUGAAGAUGACUCAGGUUUGAUUCCCAGAACCCACAUGGUGGCUCAAAGUAGCUCCAGUUCCAGGGGCUCUAAUACCCUCUUCUGGCCACCCCAGGCACCAGGGAAACAUGUGGUAUACAUAAACACACACAGGCAAAACACUUAUACACAAAAUAAAAUUUCAGAACGUUAGAACCUGGGAUAUACGACUCUGCUAGCUAUGCAGUACAUCUGUGGGGCAGUGGACCAUGCCAGGAAACCUGGUAAGGUCGAGUAGGUUCAGAAACCCCAACACCUCAUACCUAAGGACAGGGAAUAUUUCACCUACUCCCAACCAGAUUUCCUGGCCUGGAACAGAUGACCACAACUCCCCACACAAAGAACAUGACCCCUGGUCACGUAACACAGAACAGAAUUCUCCAUGCUAAUGAGAUAUCUAGAUGGGUUCUAGGGGUUAAUCAAUAAGCUUCCCUUCCAGGACACUCCUUCCUGAAAAGACAUUUCAUCUCUGGUCCACCCUGAGGAGGUUGUAAACACCUGUUCUCCACGAUGAACAAUAAUAAACAGUUUAG